ACCAUAGUUAGUUAGUCUAGUAUCAGUUCUACUUACAGUCUCAUAGAUACACUCACAACUUUCCACUCCCUUGUAUUGCGCUAUCAUUGCCGUAUACUAAUCUCCACUGCAACAUGUUUCGUCGUCGUCGGCUCAUGAGACGUGAGCUCGCCGCGCCGCCGCGAGCACCGGGCUGAGUCGACCUACGCGAGAGCUGCGAGCUCCGAGCCUGAGCUGCGAGCUUCAUGACUGAGCUGCGAGCUCCGAGCCUGAGCGUCCACCCGCUCAAGCUUCAGACAACUACACAAGGCAAGUUUAUCCUAUUUCCUAACCUAUUCUUCUACUAAUAUUAUAACUGCAAAAUUUUGUGAGGAUUGAUGGAUGAUUGUUACACACAAAAACUAGUGAUUGCUUGUUACUUUAUUCCUUUGUCAGGCUCAUUUCAGACAAAAUUAGAUUAUUAUUCGUCGGUCUUUAUUAGUUCAUUUCAAAUAAUAAAUUCUCUUUUAAAUUUGAUCAUAAACCUCUUGCACUUUUCAAAUUUCUAGUGAAACUAUUGUCCUUACCGAUCAAUUAGUUUCCCCUACUUUGUCCCAGUCAUUUAGUUCAUUCGUAGGUAUCAUUUCCGUAUACUAAUCCCCACUGCUGCAUGUUUCGUCGUCGUGGGCUGGGCGCAGGGAGCCGUGGAAGCGAUGCGGCGACGAUGGCAUCUGCGUCGAAAGAUAACGAGUCAGCCUUCAAGUCGGCGCCGCACCGCGGUGUCUCCUGCCUGCACUAGCCAUUGAUUUGGUAUUAUAUUCAGGUCAUGCCCCAGCUAUAUUCUUACAUUUGAUGCCAAUGAUUUUAUUUAUUUAUCAAUAAAUAUAACAUUAUACCUAAUAUAAUUAUAAUAAUUUAUUAAUGUGUAUCUAUUUA